rnacentral:rRNA from 1 species
ACAAUGGCAUAUACAAAGAGAAGCGACCUCGCGAGAGCAAGCGGACCUCAUAAAGUAUGUCGUAGUCCGGAUUGGAGUCUGCAACUCGACUCCAUGAAGUCGGAAUCGCUAGUAAUCGUAGAUCAGAAUGCUACGGUGAAUACGUUCCCGGGCCUUGUACACACCGCCCGUCACACCAUGGGAGUGGGUUGCAAAAGAAGUAGGUAGCUUAACCUUCGGGAGGGCGCUUACCACUUUGUGAUUCAUGACUGGGGUGAAGUCGUAACAAGGUAACCGUAGGGGAACCUGCGGUUGGAUCACCUCCUUACCUUAAAGAA